rnacentral:rRNA from 1 species
ACGCUUAGGCGUGUGACUGCGUACCUUUUGUAUAAUGGGUCAGCGACUUAUAUUCUGUAGCAAGGUUAACCGAAUAGGGGAGCCGAAGGGAAACCGAGUCUUAACUGGGCGUUAAGUUGCAGGGUAUAGACCCGAAACCCGGUGAUCUAGCCAUGGGCAGGUUGAAGGUUGGGUAACACUAACUGGAGGACCGAACCGACUAAUGUUGAAAAAUUAGCGGAUGACUUGUGGCUGGGGGUGAAAGGCCAAUCAAACCGGGAGAUAGCUGGUUCUCCCCGAAAGCUAUUUAGGUAGCGCCUCGUGAAUUCAUCUCCGGGGGUAGAGCACUGUUUCGGCAAGGGGGUCAUCCCGACUUACCAACCCGAUGCAAACUGCGAAUACCGGAGAAUGUUAUCACGGGAGACACACGGCGGGUGCUAACGUCCGUCGUGAAGAGGGAAACAACCCAGACCGCCAGCUAAGGUCCCAAAGUCAUGGUUAAGUGGGAAACGAUGUGGGAAGGCCCAGACAGCCAGGAUGUUGGCUUAGAAGCAGCCAUCAUUUAAAGAAAGCGUAAUAGCUCACUGGUCGAGUCGGCCUGCGCGGAAGAUGUAACGGGGCUAAACCAUGCACCGAAGCUGCGGCAGCGACGCUUAUGCGUUGUUGGGUAGGGGAGCGUUCUGUAAGCCUGUGAAGGUGUGCUGUGAGGUAUGCUGGAGGUAUCAGAAGUGCGAAUGCUGACAUAAGUAACGAUAAAGCGGGUGAAAAGCCCGCUCGCCGGAAGACCAAGGGUUCCUGUCCAACGUUAAUCGGGGCAGGGUGAGUCGACCCCUAAGGCGAGGCCGAAAGGCGUAGUCGAUGGGAAACAGGUUAAUAUUCCUGUACUUGGUGUUACUGCGAAGGGGGGACGGAGAAGGCUAUGUUGGCCGGGCGACGGUUGUCCCGGUUUAAGCGUGUAGGCUGGUUUUCCAGGCAAAUCCGGAAAAUCAAGGCCGAGGCGUGAUGACGAGGCACUACGGUGCUGAAGCAACAAAUGCCCUGCUUCCAGGAAAAGCCUCUAAGCAUCAGGUAACAUCAAAUCGUACCCCAAACCGACACAGGUGGUCAGGUAGAGAAUACCAAGGCGCUUGAGAGAACUCGGGUGAAGGAACUAGGCAAAAUGGUGCCGUAACUUCGGGAGAAGGCACGCUGAUACGUAGGUGAAGCGACUUGCUCGUGGAGCUGAAAUCAGUCGAAGAUACCAGCUGGCUGCAACUGUUUAUUAAAAACACAGCACUGUGCAAACACGAAAGUGGACGUAUACGGUGUGACGCCUGCCCGGUGCCGGAAGGUUAAUUGAUGGGGUUAGCGCAAGCGAAGCUCUUGAUCGAAGCCCCGGUAAACGGCGGCCGUAACUAUAACGGUCCUAAGGUAGCGAAAUUCCUUGUCGGGUAAGUUCCGACCUGCACGAAUGGCGUAAUGAUGGCCAGGCUGUCUCCACCCGAGACUCAGUGAAAUUGAACUCGCUGUGAAGAUGCAGUGUACCCGCGGCAAGACGGAAAGACCCCGUGAACCUUUACUAUAGCUUGACACUGAACAUUGAGCCUUGAUGUGUAGGAUAGGUGGGAGGCUUUGAAGUGUGGACGCCAGUCUGCAUGGAGCCGACCUUGAAAUACCACCCUUUAAUGUUUGAUGUUCUAACGUGGACCCGUGAUCCGGGUUGCGGACAGUGUCUGGUGGGUAGUUUGACUGGGGCGGUCUCCUCCUAAAGAGUAACGGAGGAGCACGAAGGUUGGCUAAUCCUGGUCGGACAUCAGGAGGUUAGUGCAAUGGCAUAAGCCAGCUUGACUGCGAGCGUGACGGCGCGAGCAGGUGCGAAAGCAGGUCAUAGUGAUCCGGUGGUUCUGAAUGGAAGGGCCAUCGCUCAACGGAUAAAAGGUACUCCGGGGAUAACAGGCUGAUACCGCCCAAGAGUUCAUAUCGACGGCGGUGUUUGGCACCUCGAUGUCGGCUCAUCACAUCCUGGGGCUGAAGUAGGUCCCAAGGGUAUGGCUGUUCGCCAUUUAAAGUGGUACGCGAGCUGGGUUUAGAACGUCGUGAGACAGUUCGGUCCCUAUCUGCCGUGGGCGCUGGAGAACUGAGGGGGGCUGCUCCUAGUACGAGAGGACCGGAGUGGACGCAUCACUGGUGUUCGGGUUGUCAUGCCAAUGGCACUGCCCGGUAGCUAAAUGCGGAAGAGAUAAGUGCUGAAAGCAUCUAAGCACGAAACUUGCCCCGAGAUGAGUUCUCCCUGACCCUUUAAGGGUCCUGAAGGAACGUUGAAGACGACGACGUUGAUAGGCCGGGUGUGUAAGCGCAGCGAUGCGUUGAGCUAACCGGUACUAAUGAACCGUGAGGCUUAACCUU